UACGGAGGGUGCAAGCGUUAUCCGGAUUCACUGGGUUUAAAGGGUGCGUAGGCGGCUUAAUAAGUCAGUGGUGAAAGCCGAUCGCUUAACGAUCGAACUGCCAUUGAUACUGCUAGGCUUGAGUAUAGUUGAGGUAGGCGGAAUUGACAGUGUAGCGGUGAAAUGCAUAGAUAUUGUCAAGAACACCAAUUGCGAAGGCAGCUUACUAAAGUAUAACUGACGCUGAGGCACGAAAGUGCGGGGAUCAAACAGG
rnacentral:rRNA from 1 species